rnacentral:misc_RNA from 1 species
GCCGAGACCGCUACUAGCUGUGGCGGCGCUGCUGCUGAUCUGCUCCACCGUCACCUUCGCCUCACCCAUAAAAAACACAUACAUCAUUCACAUGGCAAAAGCCCAAAUGCCUGCCACUUUCACCGAGCAUACCAACUGGUACUCCGACUCCCUCACCGCCGUCUCACCAGCCGCCGAAGUCAUUUACACAUACAACACCGUCGCACACGGCUUCGCCGCUCGCCUCACCGCCGCUGAAGCCCGCACACUCUCCCAUCGCGCCGGUGUACUGGCGGUUAACAAGGAAGCCAUUUACACCCUCCACACCACCCGCACCCCGGAGUUCCUUGGGCUCAACGAUGUUGCUGGACUUUUACCGCAAUCCUCCACCGCCGCCGACGUUGUCGUCGGCGUCCUUGACACAGGUGCCUGGCCCCACCACCCCAGCUACUCCGACGCCGGACUCGGUCCCGUCCCCGCCUCCUGGAGCGGUGCCUGCGAGUCCAGCGCCACCUUCAAUGCCUCCGCCUGCAACCGCAAGCUCGUCGGCGCGCGCUUCUUCUGCCGCGGCUACGAGGCCGGCAUGGGCCCGGUUGACGAGACCCGCGAGUCCCGCUCCCCACGGGACGACGACGGCCACGGCACCCACACCUCCACCACCGCCGCCGGCACCGCUGUCCCCUCCGCCAACCUCCUUGGCUACGCUGCGGGCACCGCUCGUGGAAUGUCCACCGGCGCCCGCGUCGCCGCCUACAAAGUUUGCUGGGCCGGCGGCUGUGUCAGCUCCGACAUUCUCGCUGCCAUGGACAAGGCCGUCGAGGACGGAUGCGGCGUCCUCUCCCUCUCCCUCGGCGGCGGCUCCACCGACUACUGGCGCGACAGCGUCGCCAUCGGGGCCUUCAACGCGAUGAAGCAAGGCGUCCUAGUCGCCUGCUCGGCCGGCAACGCCGGCCCUGGCGCUGCCACCCUCUCCAACGUUGCGCCGUGGAUUACUACAGUCGGUGCUGGAACCCUCGACCGUGACUUCCCAGCUUA